UACGUAGGGUGCAAGCGUUUAAUCGGAAUUACUGGGCGUAAAGCGUGCGCAGGCGGUUUUGUAAGUUUGUCGUGAAAGCCCCGGGCUCAACCUGGGAAUUGCGAUGAAGACUGCAAAGCUUGAAUCUGGCAGAGGGGGGUAGAAUUCCACGUGUAGCAGUGAAAUGCGUAGAGAUGUGGAGGAACACCGAUGGCGAAGGCAGCCCCCUGGGUCAAGAUUGACGCUCAUGCACGAAAGCGUGGGGAGCAAACAGG
rnacentral:rRNA from 1 species